rnacentral:rRNA from 1 species
UACGUAGGGUGCGAGCGUUAAUCGGAAUUACUGGGCGUAAAGUGUGCGCAGGUGGCCGCGCAUGUCGAGUGUGAAAUCCCCGGGCUUAACUUGGGAAUUGCGCUCGAAACUACGUGGCUCGAGUGUGGCAGAGGAAGGUGGAAUUCCACGUGUAGCGGUGAAAUGCGUAGAGAUGUGGAGGAACACCGAUGGCGAAGGCAGCCUUCUGGGCCA